GGGUUGUGAGGUUAAGCGACUAAGCGUACACGGUGGAUGCCCUGGCAGUCAGAGGCGAUGAAGGGCGUGCUAAUCUGCGAUAAGCGCCGGUAAGGUGAUAUGAACCGUUAUAACCGGCGAUACCCGAAUGGGGAAACCCAGUGUGACUCGUCACACUAUCAUUAACUGAAUCCAUAGGUUAAUGAGGCGAACCGGGGGAACUGAAACAUCUAAGUACCCCGAGGAAAAGAAAUCAACCGAGAUUCCCCCAGUAGCGGCGAGCGAACGGGGAGGAGCCCAGAGCCUGAAUCAGCAUGUGUGUUAGUGGAAGCGUCUGGAAAGGCGCGCGAUACAGGGUGACAGCCCCGUACACAAAAGCGCAUGUGCUGUGAGCUCGAUGAGUAGGGCGGGACACGUGGUAUCCUGUCUGAAUAUGGGGGGACCAUCCUCCAAGGCUAAAUACUCCUGACUGACCGAUAGUGAACCAGUACCGUGAGGGAAAGGCGAAAAGAACCCCGGCGAGGGGAGUGAAAAAGAACCUGAAACCGUGUACGUACAAGCAGUGGGAGCNNGUGACUGCGUACCUUUUGUAUAAUGGGUCAGCGACUUAUAUUCUGUAGCAAGGUUAACCGAAUAGGGGAGCCGUAGGGAAACCGAGUCUUAACCGGGCGUUAAGUUGCAGGGUAUAGACCCGAAACCCGGUGAUCUAGCCAUGGGCAGGUUGAAGGUUGGGUAACACUAACUGGAGGACCGAACCGACUAAUGUUGAAAAAUUAGCGGAUGACCUGUGGCUGGGGGUGAAAGGCCAAUCAAACCGGGAGAUAGCUGGUUCUCCCCGAAAGCUAUUUAGGUAGCGCCUCGUGAAUUCAUCUCCGGGGGUAGAGCACUGUUUCGGCUAGGGGGCCAUCCCGGCUUACCAACCCGAUGCAAACUGCGAAUACCGGAGAAUGUUAUCACGGGAGACACACGGCGGGUGCUAACGUCCGUCGUGAAGAGGGAAACAACCCAGACCGCCAGCUAAGGUCCCAAAGUCAUGGUUAAGUGGGAAACGAUGUGGGAAGGCCCAGACAGCCAGGAUGUUGGCUUAGAAGCAGCCAUCAUUUAAAGAAAGCGUAAUAGCUCACUGGUCGAGUCGGCCUGCGCGGAAGAUGUAACGGGGCUAAACCAUGCACCGAAGCUGCGGCAGCGANNGUUGGGUAGGGGAGCGUUCUGUAAGCCUGUGAAGGUGGCCUGUGAGGGUUGCUGGAGGUAUCAGAAGUGCGAAUGCUGACAUAAGUAACGAUAAAGCGGGUGAAAAGCCCGCUCGCCGGAAGACCAAGGGUUCCUGUCCAACGUUAAUCGGGGCAGGGUGAGUCGACCCCUAAGGCGAGGCCGAAAGGCGUAGUCGAUGGGAAACGGGUUAAUAUUCCCGUACUUGGUGUUACUGCGAAGGGGGGACGGAGAAGGCUAUGUUGGCCGGGCGACGGUUGUCCCGGUUUAAGCGUGUAGGCUGGUUUUCCAGGCAAAUCCGGAAAAUCAAGGCUGAGGCGUGACGACGAGGCACUACGGUGCUGAAGCAACAAAUGCCCUGCUUCCAGGAAAAGCCUCUAAGCAUCAGGUAACAUCAAAUCGUACCCCAAACCGACACAGGUGGUCAGGUAGAGAAUACCAAGGCGCUUGAGAGAACUCGGGUGAAGGAACUAGGCAAAAUGGUGCCGUAACUUCGGGAGAAGGCACGCUGACACGUAGGUGAAGUGAUUUACUCAUGGAGCUGAAGUCAGUCGAAGAUACCAGCUGGCUGCAACUGUUUAUUAAAAACACAGCACUGUGCAAACACGAAAGUGGACGUAUACGGUGUGACGCCUGCCCGGUGCCGGAAGGUUAAUUGAUGGGGUCAGCGCAAGCGAAGCUCCUGAUCGAAGCCCCGGUAAACGGCGGCCGUAACUAUAACGGUCCUAAGGUAGCGAAAUUCCUUGUCGGGUAAGUUCCGACCUGCACGAAUGGCGUAAUGAUGGCCAGGCUGUCUCCACCCGAGACUCAGUGAAAUUGAACUCGCUGUGAAGAUGCAGUGUACCCGCGGCAAGACGGAAAGACCCCGUGAACCUUUACUAUAGCUUGACACUGAACAUUGAGCCUUGAUGUGUAGGAUAGGUGGGAGGCUUUGAAGCGUGGACGCCAGUCUGCGUGGAGCCGACCUUGAAAUACCACCCUUUAAUGUUUGAUGUUCUAACGUGGACCCGUAAUCCGGGUUGCGGACAGUGUCUGGUGGGUAGUUUGACUGGGGCGGUCUCCUCCUAAAGAGUAACGGAGGAGCACGAAGGUUGGCUAAUCCUGGUCGGACAUCAGGAGGUUAGUGCAAUGGCAUAAGCCAGCUUGACUGCGAGCGUGACGGCGCGAGCAGGUGCGAAAGCAGGUCAUAGUGAUCCGGUGGUUCUGAAUGGAAGGGCCAUCGCUCAACGGAUAAAAGGUACUCCGGGGAUAACAGGCUGAUACCGCCCAAGAGUUCAUAUCGACGGCGGUGUUUGGCACCUCGAUGUCGGCUCAUCACAUCCUGGGGCUGAAGUAGGUCCCAAGGGUAUGGCUGUUCGCCAUUUAAAGUGGUACGCGAGCUGGGUUUAGAACGUCGUGAGACAGUUCGGUCCCUAUCUGCCGUGGGCGCUGGAGAACUGAGGGGGGCUGCUCCUAGUACGAGAGGACCGGAGUGGACGCAUCACUGGUGUUCGGGUUGUCAUGCCAAUGGCACUGCCCGGUAGCUAAAUGCGGAAGAGAUAAGUGCUGAAAGCAUCUAAGCACGAAACUUGCCCCGAGAUGAGUUCUCCCUGAGACUUUAGGUCUCCUGAAGGAACGUUGAAGACGACGACGUUGAUAGGCCGGGUGUGUAAGCGCAGCGAUGCGUUGAGCUAACCGGUACUAAUGAACCGUGAGGCUUAACCUUACAACGCCGAAG
rnacentral:rRNA from 1 species